GUAGCGGCGAGCGAACGCGGAUUAGCCCAAACCAAUAAAGUUUUCUUUAUUGGGGUUGCGGACAUAUCAUAACGAAGAGGUAUCGUAAUUGAAGAGGUUUGGAAAGACCCACCACAGAAGGUAAUAGUCCUGUAUGUUAAACGAGAAGACUUCAGAUAUGAUCCAGAGUACCACGGGACACGUGAAACCCUGUGGGAAGCAGGAGGGACCACCCUCCAAGGCUAAAUACUACCUAGUGACCGAUAGCGUAUAGUACCGUGAGGGAAAGGUGAAAAGAACCCCGGGAGGGGAGUGAAAUAGAACCUGAAACCCUGCACUUACAAGCUGUGGAAGCACAUUUCUUGUGUGACCGCGUACUUUUUGUAGAACGGGCCAACGAGUUACGUUAAGUAGCAAGGUUAAGCACUUAAGGUGUGGAGCCGUAGCGAAAGCGAGUUUUAACUGAGCGUUCAGUUACUUGACGUAGACCCGAAACCGGGCGACCUACCCAUGAGCAGGAUGAAGCGAAAGUAAAAUUUCGUGGAGGUCCGAACCCACGAGCGUUGAAAAGCUCGGGGAUGACUUGUGGGUAGCGGUGAAAUUCCAAUCGAGCCCGGAGAUAGCUGGUUCUCCCCGAAAUAGCUUUAGGGCUAGCCUCAAGGUGAGAGAUACGGAGGUAGAGCACUGAAUGUCCUAGGGGGUAUUGCACCUACCGAAGACUAUCAAACUCCGAAUGCCGUCAUCUUAUACUUGGGAGUCAGACUGUGGGUGAUAAGAUUCAUAGUCGAAAGGGCAACAGCCCAGAUCGUCAGCUAAGGUCCCUAAAUGUAAGUUAAGUGGUAAAGGAUGUGGGAUUGCACAGACAACCAGGAUGUUGGCUUAGAAGCAGCCACUCAUUCAAAGAGUGCGUAAUAGCUCACUGGUCGAGUGAUCCUGCGCCGAAGAUUUCCGGGGCUAAAACUUACUACCGAAGCUACGGCAUCAGUAAUGAUGGGUAGGGGAGCUUCCCAUACGGGUUGAAGCAUGACCGUAAGGACAUGUGGACAGUAUGGGAGUGAGAAUGUUGGCAUGAGUAGCGAGAUGUGGGUGAGAAUCCCACAGGCCGUAAACCCAAGGUUUCCAGGGGAAGGUUCGUCCGCCCUGGGUUAGUCGGGACCUAAGCUGAGGCCGAAAGGCGUAGGUGAUGGACAACAGGUUGAUAUUCCUGUACUACCGAUAACCGUUUGAGAGAAGGGAUGACACAGUAGGAUAAGCUAAGCACACUGUUGGUUAUGUGUGCCCAAGCAUUGAGGCAGUCAAAGUAGGCAAAUCCGCUUUGAUAAUGCUGGGAUGUGAUGGGGAGCGAAAUUUAGUAGCGAAGUAGCUGAUUUCACACUGUCAAGAAAAGUCUCUAUCGAGGUUAAAGGUACCCGUACCGCAAACCGACACAGGUGGGUGAGGAGAGUAUCCUAAGGCCAGCGAGAGAACUGUUGUUAAGGAACUCGGCAAAAUGACCCCGUAACUUAGGGAUAAGGGGUGCCACCAUCAGGUGGCCGCAGAGAAUAGGCCCAAGCGACUGUUUACCAAAAACAUAGGUUUCUGCUAAGUCGCAAGACGAUGUAUAGGAGCUGACGCCUGCCCGGUGCUGGAAGGUUAAGGGGAUCUGUUAGAGCAAUCGAAGCAGUGAACUUAAGCCCCAGUAAACGGCGGCCGUAACUAUAACGGUCCUAAGGUAGCGAAAUUCCUUGUCGGGUAAGUUCCGACCCGCACGAAAGGCGUAACGAUUUGGGCACUGUCUCAACAACAGACUCGGUGAAAUUGUAAUUCCGGUGAAGAUGCCGGAUACCUGCGACAGGACGGAAAGACCCCAUGGAGCUUUACUGUAGCUUGACAUUGGGUCUUGGUACUACAUGUACAGGAUAGGUGGGAGGCUUUGAAACCAGGACGCCAGUUUUGGCGGAGCCAUCCUUGGGAUACCACCCUUGUAGUACUGGGACUCUAACCAUAGGCCAUGAAUCUGGUCUUGGGACACUGUCAGGUGGGCAGUUUGACUGGGGCGGUCGCCUCCCAAAAGGUAACGGAGGCGCUCAAAGGUUCUCUCAGUACGGUCGGAAAUCGUACGUAGAGUGUAAAGGCAAAAGAGAGCUUGAUUGCAAGACAUACAGGUCGAGCAAGGAUGAAAAUCGGACUUAGUGAUCCGGUGGUUCUGCGUGGAAGGGCCAUCGCUCAACGGAUAAAAGCUACCCUGGGGAUAACAGGCUUAUCUCCCCCAAGAGUCCACAUCGACGGGGAGGUUUGGCACCUCGAUGUCGGCUCAUCACAUCCUGGGGCUGUAGUAGGUCCCAAGGGUUGGGCUGUUCGCCCAUUAAAGUGGUACGCGAGCUGGGUUCAGAACGUCGUGAGACAGUUCGGUCCCUAUCCGUCGCAGGCGUAGGAAAUUUGAGAAGACCUGUCCUUAGUACGAGAGGACCGGGAUGGACGUACCUCUGGUGUACCAGUUGUUCUGCCAAGGGCAUGGCUGGGUAGCUAUGUACGGAAUGGAUAAGCGCUGAAAGCAUCUAAGCGCGAAGCCAACUUCAAGAUAAGAUUUCCCACCGCAAGGGUAAGACCCCAGAAAGACUAUCUGGUUGAUAGGUCGAAGGUGUAAGUGCAGCAAUGUAUUUAGCUUAUCGAUACUAAUAGGUCGAGGACUUGACCAA
rnacentral:rRNA from 1 species